rnacentral:rRNA from 1 species
CACCGCGGUUAUACGAGAGGCCCAAGUUGACAAAACUCGGCGUAAAGCGUGGUUGAUAGUAUAAAACACUAAAGCCGAACACCUUUAAAACCGUCAUACGUACUUAAAGGCAGGAAGACCUACAACGAAAGUGGCUUUAAUAAAUAUGAACCUACGAAAGCUAAGACA